rnacentral:rRNA from 1 species
AUGCCUGCUUUGAAGAUUAGCUAUGAUGAGCUACCAUAUAAUUUACAACAAUGUUUCUCAUAUUGUUCUAUAUUUCCUAACAAAUAUCAGUUUCUUGGUAAGGAUUUGGUAUAUAUUUGGAUUUCUCAGGGAUUUGUAAAUUGCACUCAUUUUAGCAAGAGAUUGGAGGAGACGGGGUGUGAAUAUCUGAAUAAUUUGGUGAACCUGGGAUUCUUUCAGCAAGUUGAGAAACAACAGGACGAAGAUGGGCGUUUGGAAGAAGAAUUUUCUCCAGGCUGUCAGAUUUGGUAUUCUAUGUGUGGUCUCAUGCACGAUUUUGCGAGGAUGGUUUCAAGGACUGAAUGUGCAACUAUAGAUGGUCUACAGUGCAAUAAAAUGUUCCCAACCAUACACCAUUUGUCAAUAGUAACCGGUUCAGCAUACAACAAAGAUUGGCACGGGAACAUUCCUCGAAAUGAGAAGUUCGAAGAAAAUCUGAGAAAUAAAGUUAUAUCAGUUAGCAAAUUGAGAACAGUGGUUGUACUUGGGCACUUUGACUCUUUCUUUGUAGAAUUGUUCCAUAUAUAUUCUGUAAGGCACAAAAUUUACGCCUGCUACAAGUAUCUCCACCACCCACUUAUCUGUUUCACGUGCCUGCAGCAUCCACUGAUUUUAAUUCCUUCAGGUGCAGCUUGGCAAAUCCUCUGCAUGUUCGUUAUCUAA